UUUGGGAGGCUGAGGCGGGUGGAUCACUUGAGCCCAGGAGUUUGAGACCAGUCUGGGCAACAGAGUGAGACCUCAUCUCUACAAA
rnacentral:miRNA from 10 species